rnacentral:rRNA from 1 species
CACGUGGUUAGCCGGGGCUUCUUAGUCAGGUACCGUCAUUUUUUUCUUCCCUGCUGAUAGAGCUUUACAUACCGAAAUACUUCUUCACUCACGCGGCGUCGCUGGAUCAGGGUUUCCCCCAUUGUCCAAUAUUCCCCACUGCUGCCUCCCGUAGGAGUUUGGGCCGUGUCUCAGUCCCAAUGUGGCCGUCCACCCUCUCAGGCCGGCUACUGAUCGUCGCCUUGGUGGGCCGUUACCUCACCAACCAGCUAAUCAGACGCGGGUCCAUCAUAUACCACCGUAGUUUUUCACACUGUCUCAUGCAAUACUGUGCGCUUAUGCGGUAUUAGCACCUAUUUCUAAGUGUUAUCCCCCUGUAUAUGGCAGGUUACCCACGCGUUACUCACCCGUCCGCCACAAGUCAUCAACAUUUCCACUCUUAGCAAGCUAAUUGCUUCAAAAAUGAUGACUCCGUUCGACUUGCAUGUGUUAAGCACGCCGCCAGCGUUCACUCCUGAGCC